rnacentral:tRNA from 1 species
GUGGCCGUAGUUCAGCUGGUAGAGCGCCAGUUUGUGGUACUGGAUGUCGCGGGUUCGAGCCCCGUCGGUCACCCCA